rnacentral:rRNA from 1 species
UGGCCCUACGGGAGGCAGCAGUGGGGAAUAUUGGGCAAUGGGCGCAAGCCUGACCCAGCAACGCCGCGUGAAGGAAGAAGGCUUUCGGGUUGUAAACUUCUUUCCUCAGGGACGAAGAAAGUGACGGUACCUGAGGAAUAAGCCACGGCUAACUACGUGCCAGCAGCCGCGGUAAUACGUAGGUGGCAAGCGUUAUCCGGAUUUAUUGGGUGUAAAGGGCGUGUAGGCGGGAGCGCAAGUAUGAUGAGAAAACUCAGGGCUCAAC